ensembl:snRNA U1 U1 spliceosomal RNA
UUACACAUUUUGUGCUUGUUUUUAACGGGAACUAAUGAAGUAUUGAUGGAGCGAGGCUCUGCCAUUGCACUUGGGUGGUGCUGACACUUGCGAAUUCCCCAAACGUGGGAAUCUCGACUGCACAAUUUCUGGUAGUGGGGGACUGCGUUCGCACUGUCCCCUG